GGCUCCUUGCAGUUGUAAACAUUCCCGACUGGAAGUUGUAAUGCAGAAAAUCUCAGCUUUCAGUCUGAUGUUUGCUGCUACUGGUGGCC
ensembl:miRNA mir30a microRNA 30a